UGUAUGUAUAUAAUAUAAAUUAACUGCGUAAAAGUCAAUGCAAAGAUUACUCCAUCCAAUGAGAGUUCAAUAUUACUAAAUGUUUCAGCUACAUGUACUUAUUGCUCUACUAAUAGUUUCCCAUACAUGCGUAUGUUCAUCAGGCGC